rnacentral:lncRNA from 1 species
CGGUUGAGCUAGGGUUGAACUGUGAUGGUGGUGACAAAUAUUGCCGUCUGUUGCUAUUGUUGAUGCUGUUGAUGUUGGGAUUGAGCCAGUUUUUGGAAUUGACUCAAGGACAAAGGAUCAAGUUCAUCAGUCAUGAUGAUAAGAACAUAUAUUGUUGAUUUUUGAGAUAAGAUGUGGAACAAGGACAAGGUUUAAAUAGAGGAUGGGCUGAAUGUGG